GCUUGGAACCAAUUCAAGAGUUGAAGACCAAUUGAUCGAUUGACGUGUAUGUGCUUGUAAUACGACCUAAUUAGAAUCCAUGAUCAUCACCUAUUUAAGGUUUAGCUUUAUUUGAUGCUGCGAUUAUAACUGCCUGUGAUGUGCCGUUUGCAUGUGAUGUGAAUGAGAGCGGGGUAGAUAGGUUUAUAUGUGAUGUAGCAAACCCAAUUGAGACCUAAAUUAAAACCUCCUCAAUCAAGUCGAGAGUGAACCAACAUGAGCGAGUCAUAUUAGAUUAAUUGAUCUAAUUCGUGUCUAGGAAAGCAUGAAAGGUGGUUACUUAAU
rnacentral:lncRNA from 1 species